UACGUAGGUGACUAGCGUUGUCCGGAUUUACUGGGCGUAAAGAGCGCGCAGGCGGUCGUUCAAGUCGAGUGUGAAAGCCCCCGGCUCAACUGGGGAGGGUCUCUUGAUACUGAUCGACUCGAAGGCAGGAGAGGGAAGCGGAAUUCCCGGUGUAGUGGUGAAAUGCGUAGAUAUCGGGAGGAACACCAGUGGCGAAGGCGGCUUCCUGGCCUGUUCUUGACGCUGAGGCGCGAAAGCUAGGGGAGCAAACGGG
rnacentral:rRNA from 1 species